AGAGUUUGAUCAUGGCUCAGAUUGAACGCUGGCGGCAUGCCUUACACAUGCAAGUCGAACGGCAGCACGGGAGCAAUCCUGGUGGCGAGUGGCGAACGGGUGAGUAAUACAUCGGAACGUGUCCUGUAGUGGGGGAUAGCCCGGCGAAAGCCGGAUUAAUACCGCAUACGCUCUACGGAGGAAAGGGGGGGAUCUUCGGACCUCCCGCUACAGGGGCGGCCGAUGGCAGAUUAGCUAGUUGGUGGGGUAAAGGCCUACCAAGGCGACGAUCUGUAGCUGGUCUGAGAGGACGACCAGCCACACUGGGACUGAGACACGGCCCAGACUCCUACGGGAGGCAGGAGUGGGGAAUUUUGGACAAUGGGGGCAACCCUGAUCCAGCAAUGCCGCGUGUGUGAAGAAGGCCUUCGGGUUGUAAAGCACUUUUGUCCGGAAAGAAAACUUCUGCCCUAAUACGGCGGGGGGAUGACGGUACCGGAAGAAUAAGCACCGGCUAACUACGUGCCAGCAGCCGCGGUAAUACGUAGGGUGCAAGCGUUAAUCGGAAUUACUGGGCGUAAAGCGUGCGCAGGCGGUUCGCUAAGACAGAUGUGAAAUCCCCGGGCUUAACCUGGGAACUGCAUUUGUGACUGGCGGGCUAGAGUAUGGCAGAGGGGGGUAGAAUUCCACGUGUAGCAGUGAAAUGCGUAGAGAUGUGGAGGAAUACCGAUGGCGAAGGCAGCCCCCUGGGCCAAUACUGACGCUUCAUGCACGAAAGC
rnacentral:rRNA from 1 species